AGAUUGAACGCUGGCGGCAGGCCUAACACAUGCAAGUCGAGCGGUAGAGAGGUGCUUGCAUCUCUUGAGAGCGGCGGACGGGUGAGUAAUGCCUAGGAAUCUGCCUAGUGGUGGGGGAUAACGUUCGGAAACGGACGCUAAUACCGCAUACGUCCUACGGGAGAAAGCGGGGGACCUUCGGGCCUCGCGCCAUUAGAUGAGCCUAGGUCGGAUUAGCUAGUUGGUGAGGUAAUGGCUCACCAAGGCGACGAUCCGUAACUGGUCUGAGAGGAUGAUCAGUCACACUGGAACUGAGACACGGUCCAGACUCCUACGGGAGCAGCAGUGGGGGAAUAGUUGGAC
rnacentral:rRNA from 1 species